rnacentral:rRNA from 1 species
UACAGAGGGGGCAAGCGUUAUUCGGAAUUAUUGGGCGUAAAGGGCGCGUAGGCGGCUUUGCAAGUGGCGGGUGAAAUCCCUCGGCUCAACCGAGGAACUGCGUCUGAUACUGGAAGGCUUGAAUCCGGGAGAGGGAUGUGGAAUUCCAGGUGUAGCGGUGAAAUGCGUAGAUAUCUGGAGGAACACCGGUGGCGAAGGCGGCAUCCUGGACCGGUAUUGACGCUGAGGCGCGAAAGCUAGGGGAGCAAACGGG